AGUGGGAUAGCUGGGUCGAAUGGUGGUUCCAUUUCAAGUUUUCUGAGGAAUCUCCACACUGCUUUCCAUAUGGUUGCACCGAUUUGCAAUCCCACCAGCAAU
rnacentral:pre_miRNA from 1 species